GGGUGCUUAGAAACCAUCAAGCCAAAAGUAAACGACAUUACCAAGGACAAAAUUCUGUUUCCCAUGUUUUAAGAGUCAACAAUUAUAUCUAAGUAACUUUAAACAACUAGGAUUUAACACCUAAUCACCGAAAUUAAGGCACAUGUAGCAUUGACCCUAACCCCAAAGAACAAAACUCAAACGAACAUUUUACAAGCUCCAACAAAGAGGAGAGCCCCCCUUUAUAAGAUUUCCCAAUUCUCACUCAUUUUAACCUCGCGAUACCACCGAGCCGUGAUUUGCACUCCAACACCUCAGAAUUAGCCUAUUCCUCUCUUUUUCUUAUUUUCUUUUUUAUCCAUGCUCUUCGUUUUGAGUUUCAAACUACAUAAUUGAAUUUAGGUGUUUCUCACUCUCAUUUCGUCUCGUUUUCGACUUGCUGGAUCUCGAAUCUUUUGCUCCCUAGUUGACUACUGAUAUCACUAAUGUUGCUUUCUUUCUUGGUUGGCGUUGGCGUUGGCGUUGCCUUUGGCUUCCUUGGUAUGCACUUGGUGCGUGCUCCCUCUUCCUCCUUUCCUCCCAAUUGCAGCAACUGCGAGCUUCUAUCUGCACUGUAGGAGUUGGACUUCUUCAAAGCGGGGACCUCCUCCUUCUUAGUAUCAAUCAAGCUCCCACUAAAGUACUCCUUGUCUUCUAAUCUUGCCCCUCCAAAAUUCAUUAAAUCCUUGGUUGUUCCCUCCGGGUUCCCUCCUCCACGUGGCAACCUCCCUUUGUAAUGGCGGAUCAACGAGAAGCCCUGCUCCUUCGCUGCCGUGGCUCCACAGUCCCUAAAUGAGAUAGAACCGCAAGAAAUCAGCUGCAUCAGUACAGACGACGCUUUCAUCCUCCCACUGUUGUCCACCGUCCGAUUCAAAUUCUCCUCAUUUCUGUUCCCGUUGCUUAAUAUCAAUCGCCCAUUAGCCUUCAUCAAAGACUCUAAUGUCUCGGGGCUAGAAUCCGACGGCGGAGGUGAGAUCUCAAUUUCUUCUCUGUUCGCCUCCGGUUCUGGACUUUUCUCUUCUGGCAAUUCUUCAAUUUCCUCUUCUUGCUUUUCUGGCCUUUUCCUCCUCUUGUCAUCAGUCUGAGUUGACGCGUCAGCGGCGAGUUUCCGAGUCGACUCGGAGAAUGGCUCAGUUUUAUAAACCUGAUACUCAUUAAGAUCAAUGGAACUCCAGGAUUGAUUUCUUCGCCGCGUGAUCACAGGAAAAUCCGAAUCCUCACUGGACGAUGACUUGUGAAUCUCUGGCGGUUUCAGGGAUCUGGAAGACGACGUAGUUUCGAGGAGGAGAGGUUUGUUAAUGUUUAUAGAAGGAUCAAGAAGCUCCGAUCCUUUGAGAACGUACUCAUGGCCGUGGGCUGGAUAGAUGAAAUCGUUUUCGGCCAAGUCGUGCCAAACGAAGCCGUUCUUGUAGCUCCUUUUAGAGGACCAUGAGUAGAGGCUAGCCAUGCCUUUACCUCGAAGGAUGUUCAAGCGGUUGAUGACAUCUCUUAGGUAGAGACCUUCGGUGGAAGAGAGAGGGACCUCCAUGAAAUGGGGAUGCUCAAGGUGGCCAUUUCUAGAAAGAUAAUAAACAACAGGGACUUUUCUCUCAGUACCCUUUUUGGGUUUAGGUUCAACCCAGACUCUGGUUCUCUCAGGAGUGGUUUCUCUGUCCUUGAACUUCCUGGGAAUCUGAAGCAACUCUGUGUUUCUUGCUCUAGAACUGACCGCCAUUUUCUCUCAGAGAACAGAAAGUGAUAGGAGAAGAGAAGACAGAGAAAGAGAGGGAAUGAAUUAGAGGAACCUCAAGAGUUAUAAGAGAGAGGGAGACUGAGUCAUCGAGGAAGGUGUGAAAGUAGGGAAAUAUUUCAAAUGGGGAUGCGGCAGACAGCCGCUACACUACACAACAAUUUUGAGAGAGAGAGAGGGGACUCUGCCUAUGUCUUUGUUUAGAGCUCGG
rnacentral:misc_RNA from 1 species